rnacentral:lncRNA from 1 species
AAAACCAUUAAAUUAGUUGGCCUACCUUUUAUUUAUUUGUAUUUUUCAUGUUUUGUAUUUUUAUUUGUUGUAAUUCAUGUAUUUUAUUUUAGUAGUAGUAAUUAUUUAUUUUAGUAGUUGUAUUGGCUUUCUUUAUUUAAUAAACAAAGCAUUCAAUAAAAUAUUUUUUUAUUCAACAUAUUCCAUACAUCAAAGAAAACAUAACCAAAAUGGAAAAAAAAUAAGAGAGGGAUAGCUACCAUGAACGCGCCUCACACG